AAAGUGCUGGGAUUACAGGCGAGAGCCACUGCACCAGCCAUCUGCUUUCUGCUUGUUGAUUUUAUUCUUCUUUUUUUUAAUCCAGGAAAAAAUUACUUUUGAAAGCAGAAUGUCCCUCUUAAAGACCCUUUUACCCCACGGUCCCAUAGCUUAUCAUCCUGCUAGGGGAUUGCCACUUCCUUGUUUCUAAUUUCAGCCUUUCCAGCGUGUGUGCCUUUCUCUUUUCCCUCUCCACCUGUACUUCACCCUGUUUUCCUGCCUCUCCUUUGACUGUUGCCUCUUCUCUGGUUUUCAGGCUUGGUCACAGUGGCGGGAACAGCUCCUGUAUGUCCAGAAGGAGAAACAAAAGGUUGUCUCUGCAGUGAAACAUCAUCAGCACUGGCAAAAACGGAGAUUUCUAAAGGCCUGGCUUGAAUACCUGCAAGUCCGCAGAGUGAAGAGACAGCAGAAUGAGAUGGCUGAGCGAUUCCAUCAUGUCACUGUGCUCCAGAUAUACUUCUGUGACUGGCAGCAGGCCUGGGAGCGGAGGGAGAGCUUGUACGCUCACCAUGCCCAGGUGGAGAAACUGGCCAGGAAGAUGGCCCUGCGGCGCGCCUUUACUCACUGGAAACACUACAUGCUGCUGUGUGCAGAAGAAGCUGCCCAGUUUGAGAUGGCAGAAGAGCACCACAGGCACAGCCAGCUGCUGCUGCACAGGUUCUGGAACCUCUGGCGGUCUCAGAUUGAGCAGAAAAAGGAAAGAGAG
rnacentral:lncRNA from 10 species